AACUGAGUCAUCGGUACUAAAAAAAUGUCCUGCGUCCGUUAAUGACAUCAUUCGUUAAAAAAUUAAUCAAAAUUGGUGCGUUUUAAUUGGGUAAUUCUCGUAGACCGCGGGGCCACCUGUCUUGCGCCGGCCCUGUACUUACGUGACCGUCGUCACAUCCUCCUCCGAUGAACCCGGGCAGAAUCCUAACGCCAUGAUUACGCUGAAUAGCUGUUCGUUAUUUUCAGAUCCCACGAUUCCUCCAAGCGUGGAAUGGGCAUAAAAGCUCAUCCACGCCAGAGGCGAUGGAGCGGAGAUGAAUCAGCAUCGUUAAACAACGUGUCUACGCGUGGGGUAUUACAGUCAACGCUUGAAAAGCCGAUGCCUUUGGAGAGACUUUACGAUCGAAGGUGUCCCGGAUGGACAGGAGACAGUCAACGUUUGCUCGACGAAGAAUGAUCCGGCCAGACGGUGAACAGGGGAUGCUCGAAGGUGGAUGGAAUGGCAAAAAGUGGAAAAACCCAGGCGUUGGACACGGAGUGCGUCGAACCGGUCGAACCGCUCAAGAGCAACCGCAUUCCUGAGGAUUUCUACGUCACUGCUGGGUCUGACAACCCUUUCGUUGUGCCCUCUUCGAAGAACGAUAAGGAUCGGAGUCGAUGGAGAAUCAUUCGCCCGCGAAGGACCCCUGGAUAACUGGUCCGCACGGUUUCGUGCAUGCAACGACGAUCGACGUCAUCUUUCGACAUCGUUACCGUUACGAUUGCUCCGUUUCGUCACAGACGUAGAGAUCCGUCGGAGGAAGUUAGAUGGUAUAACCUGCGCCAAUUACCGGUAAUCGAUAUUAGACGAUUAAACGUCGCGAAGAUAGAAAGGAAACGACCUUGGAUCCAACCGGAGAUGAGCGUAUCUAAGUAUCAUGGGUCGAAAGUGGUCCCAAGUCUGAUCGCAACGAGCCAUUGAAACGUAUCUGCUGGAAUAUGAAGGAUUCUCCAUGGGUAUCGAUCGACGUGCCGUUCAUUUGGAGCGAACCGUUCCUUUGUGCUCGCGCUGAGCGCGGCAUUAAUUGCGAUACGUUCCCAGCAUGAAAACCAACAAAGGCCAAGGAGAAAUAAGGCGAAGCUCGGUCAGCCGUCGGCUGCU